rnacentral:rRNA from 1 species
GAUGAACGCUGGCGGCGUGCCUAAUACAUGCAAGUCGAGCGAACAGACGAGGAGCUUGCUCCUCUGACGUUAGCGGCGGACGGGUGAGUAACACGUGGAUAACCUACCUAUAAGACUGGGAUAACUUCGGGAAACCGGAGCUAAUACCGGAUAACAUGUUGAACCGCAUGGUUCAACAGUGAAAGACGGUCUUGCUGUCACUUAUAGAUGGAUCCGCGCCGCAUUAGCUAGUUGGUAAGGUAACGGCUUACCAAGGCAACGAUGCGUAGCCGACCUGAGAGGGUGAUCGGCCACACUGGAACUGAGACACGGUCUAGACUCCUACGGGAGGCAGCAGUAGGGAAUCUUCCGCAAUGGGCGAAAGCCUGACGGAGCAACGCCGCGUGAGUGAAGAAGGUCUUCGGAUCGUAAAACUCUGUUAUUAGGGAAGAACAAAUGUGUAAGUAACUAUGCACGUCUUGACGGUACCUAAUCAGAAAGCCACGGCUAACUACGUG